GAAUAUCCAUUUUUGUUUUUCAGUUUUGAUAGCAUUUUUUUCUUUUACUUAUUGAAGUAAAAUCAAGACGGACAGAUGGGAAAUAUGUAUUUUUUUUUUUUGGCGAUUAUAUGACAUGAUGGGGUAUAAGACGAGAAAUACUAUAAUAUGCUUCCAACAAGUUAUAUGACGGGUCGGGUUGUAAGAUGGAACGGGUUUGACUUAAUAUUACAAAAAAAAAAAUAUUAUUAAUCUCACAAUUAAAUACGGGUCAUUUUACUACUUUUUUAACCGACACUAAUAUAAAACAUGUAUAAUUAAACUAAUUUAGUAAAGAUUGAUAUUAUGCAAUCUUAAUAAUUAUUAAAUAAACUCUAACAUCUAUAAAUUUUUAAAAAUAUGAAUUUAAAAAAAAAAAAUUAUCCCGC
rnacentral:lncRNA from 1 species